AUUGAACGCUGGCGGCAUGCCUUACACAUGCAAGUCGAACGGUAACGGGCCUUCGGGUGCCGACGAGUGGCGAACGGGUGAGUAAUACAUCGGAACGUGCCCGAUCGUGGGGGAUAACGAGGCGAAAGCUUUGCUAAUACCGCAUACGAUCUACGGAUGAAAGCAGGGGACCGCAAGGCCUUGCGCGGACGGAGCGGCCGAUGGCAGAUUAGGUAGUUGGUGGGAUAAAAGCUUACCAAGCCGACGAUCUGUAGCUGGUCUGAAAGGAUGAUCAGCCACACUGGGACUGAGGCACGGCCCAGACUCCUACGGGAGGCAGCAGUGGGGAAUUUUGGACAAUGGGCGCAAGCCUGAUCCAGCCAUGCCGCGUGCAGGAUGAAGGCCUUCGGGUUGUAAACUGCUUUUGUACGGAACGAAAAGCCUUCUUUUAAUACAGGAGGGUCAUGACGGUACCGUAAGAAUAAGCACCGGCUAACUACGUG
rnacentral:rRNA from 1 species